AGUCAAACCUGAGGCUCUGACCCCUUGUAGCCGCUGGCCCUCCCUUGACCCCUUUGGAUGAGUGAGGGGGCUCAGCUGGACCCUAUGACCUUGCUUCACAUUGGAGCAUGGAGUUUUCCAAGGAUCUGUCACUAGUGUGCCGUCUGAACAGACAUCGCUGCUGACACCUAAAACCUCUUCUAAGAAACACUCCAAUUAUUCAGAUAAUUGCUUGUGCCUAAGACUGUAUAACCUAAGAGUCGGGUGCAGGCUUGAUAAAGAAUUGGAAGCCCUCUGCAAAAGGAGAGGAAACGUGAGGUGGAGGAAAAUGAUCCCUGUGACGAUGUUGAAAACAGAGCCUGCUCAGCCUUAAUAAACCAGAGCUGCUGCGAGGCACCAGCGCUUCAGUUGGGUCAAACCAAAGUUUCCUGCUCUUCUCAUAAAGGUGAGAGAAGGUCCGUGGAGGCCACCAAGGACAGGCCCGUUGGCAUCACUCUGGCUACCUCAGUCCCUUAAUGUCCUGGAAAACUGGAGUCUGCUUCCUCAAGAGCCCAGCGGUUGCCCAGUAAGGCUGGGGCCGGAAGCACAAAAGAACCGCC
rnacentral:lncRNA from 10 species